UCAUGCUCACGAGGCCCUGUUUUUUCUGAAUCAUCUUCUGUCUCUGCUGACACCUUUGAGCUUAUUACAUUUCUCACAAUAUUUCCCACAUGGCACCCACUCCGCUCUCUUUCCCCAUUCUCCAGCUACCUCAGAUAGGAAAAUUGACGUGAUUUUUAUUAGGCUUACUCAUGCCUAGAGGUUUGCACUGAGUAUCAGCCUUAGACAAUUAUAAGCCUUUUUUCUCUUUUUAAUUUUGCUGCUUCAGAAACCCCCCUUGGCAGGAUGGUGGUGGAAAGGAAAUCAAAAGCAGGCUUAAGGUUUAACUUCUACAAGAAGCUAGUCUGCAAGACAAAGCAACUGCCUGGAAGCCAUCAAUAAAGUCCCAGAUUUCCUGGCCAUUAGGAUGCCAAAAAUAUUUGAGCCCUUGGGCAUGGAAUCCCCAGACUUCAGAAGGUUUCACCUAAUACCACUGGCUUUUUUAAAUGGUUGCACUUUAAUUUCAGUUUAUUGUUGUAAUAAAAUUGCAUCCCUCUCAUGUGAAAUACAAGAUGUAAAUAGAAAGAAAUGGAUAACUAAUUGCUCUGUAAAUUUGGUAGUACAAUAUAAUACCAAAAGUUGUGUGUGGGUGUGUGUGUGGGGGGGGGGGGUGUUGUCAUGACAAUGCUUUCAAAUCACAAAGUGGUAGUUGUAUUGUACUGACAUUCACCAAUGCCCCCACCUUCCUAUAAUGGAGCUUGAAAUAAACAAGAAUCUUGGUAGGGAUACCAAGAUGCUGGUUUAUAAAGCUAUUGUCCUUCCAACUCUAUUGUAUGCCUGCAAAACAAUCUACAAACAGCACUCUUUACUUCUGGAGAGAUCCAAUCAGAGUUGCUUCUGAAAAAUCCUGCAAAUUUCUUGGAAAAACAGGCAGACAAAUGUCAGCGUUCUGGAAAAAGCGAAGGCCAUCACCACUGAAGCAGUGAUCCUUCACAAUCAACUUCACUGGACUGGCCAUGUUGUCAAGGAUGGAAAACAGAAUGUAGGUGGACAUGAAGAUGGGUUUAAUGCUAACCUUAAAAACUGUGGCAUAGACACGGAGAAUUGGGAAGCCUUGACCCUUGAGAAUUGUAACUGGAGGUCAGCUGUUACCAACAGUGGAUUUUGAAGAGGCACAAAUACAUGGGAGAUACAUGCAAGAGGAAGGAGCACCAAGCCAACCCUUGUUGAGGCCACCUUCCAUCUGGAAAUGUAUGACCUCACUGCAAAAUACCAUGCAGAUCCAGAAUAGGUCUCUACAGUCACUUAUGGAUCCACCGCCAAAACUCUACCCUUGGAAGACAAUCACACUCAGCCAGAAAUGAUCGCCUGUGAUAAGGAAGGCUUUUUAAAAAGUCAUUUAGCAUUUUGCUCUGAUAAUGGUAAAUUCUCUGCUUCCAAUUUCAGGCCAGCUCCCUGAAGCAACAAUCUAUGAUUUCUACUGCCAGCAGUUCCACACAUUCAGUUACCAACUCUGCUUAAUACAAUGUAAUUAAAUACAGUAUGACCCCCUUA